UUGCGGUAAAAAAGCUCGUAGUUGGAUUUCUACCGAAGAUAGCCGGUCGGGUCUUCGACCUUGUAUCUGGUUUUGUCUUUGGUAUCCUCAUGGGGAACGUUGCUGCGCUUCAUUGCGUGGUGCGGUAUCCAUGACUUUUACUUUGAGGAAAUUAGAGUGUUCACGGCAGGCAAACGCCCUGAAUAUAUUAGCAUGGAAUAAUAACAUAGGAUCUUCGUCCUAUUUUGUUGGUUUCUAGGGCUAAGAUAAUGAUUAAUAGGGACAAUUGGGGGCAUUCGUAUUAACGCGUCAGUGGUGGAAUUCUUGGAUUGCGUUACGACGAACUACUGCGAAAGCAUUUGCCAAAGAUGUUUUCAUUGAUCAAGAACGAAAGUAUGGGGAUCGAAGACGCUUAGACACCGUCGUAGUCUAUACCAUAAACUAUGCCAACUAGAGAUCGGUGGGGUUAUCCUAAUGUGGCUCCAUCGGCAUCUUAUGAGAAAAUCAAAGUUUUUGGGUUCCCGGGGGGAGUAUGGUCGCAAAGGCUGAAACUU
rnacentral:rRNA from 1 species